rnacentral:lncRNA from 1 species
CUGACAGGGAAGGUAGCCGGUACCACCGACCGUCCCGGCCCACUUAUUCCGGCCUGCAGUGAGGUCUCACCCUAAAGUUAGGGUCGACUUCCAGACGACAGGCUCCUUCCCUUCUCUCACUCGCUGCCGGCGCCGGGAGAGUGGCUGGGAGACGCCUCCGGGGCCAAGCUGGACAUGAGCUGCGGCUGCCGGUCCUGGGACUAGGCCCCGCCAUUUUGGAUCCUCUGACAGGUUUGUCAGGAUGGUGGAUAAGAAUAUUUACAUCAUUCAAGGAGAAAUUAACAUUGUUGUUGGUGCCAUCAAACGAAAUGCCCGAUGGAGCACCCAUAUACCACUGGAUGAAGAGCGGGAUCCCCUUUUGCACAGUUUCAGCCAUCUAAAGGAGGUCUUAAACAGUGGGACAGGGGUCCUGAGUUCAAGUCCCAGCAACCACAUGGUGGCUCACAACCAUCUCUAAUGGAAUCUGAUGCCCUCUUCUGGUGUGUCUGAAGACAGCUACAGUGUACUUCUAUGUAAUAAAUAAAUAUUUUUAAACAA